CUCGUCCUCAACCAGCAGCGGACAGCACCUAGAAAAAUGGGUAUGGCAGCGGCUUUGUGGCCCGUUUUGGCCGGCUUCCCGACCCCGGAAGCUAGGCCCGCCUUGGAGUGAAUCGAUCCCCUCGGCGUCCCCGUCGAUUUGAGCCGCUCGGAUCGCUAAUCGGGUUCCUAGAUGACGAUCGUGGAGGACCGAAAGUCCUGAAGUUCGGAAGGUGGAGGCUGAAGAUUCGGCAAAUGGGUCUGACUAGUGGAUGUUAAGACAGUCCCCUUUUUGAUAAGCCAUUAAUUUUGUAAACAGCCUAAGUUUGUAAUUAACCAGUUUGUCUAUAAA